UUAAACUGACUGCUAGAAAACGUUUGUAACGGGAAAAAAAUUGGCUGUUUUAAGGGGUUUUCCGACAAAUAUUUAUUGUUUUUAAGAUGUAUUCUGCUAUUCGGGAGGAAACAAGUCCGAAGGGAUCAAUAACCACGAAGAUUGGUUCAGCAGAUCUCGAGUUAUAAGUGGUGUAACUAACACGAAUAAAAUAGAAUAGAAUAGAAUACAUUUUUACAAAUAUAUUUCAUGGGCAACAUGAAAGAACAACUUGAUCGACGCCUAGUUCUGCUUCAUGAACAUCAUGCGUUGGUCAGGUUGUUUAAGAGUGCUUUGACUAUAAAGUUGUCAUCAAAGCAGAUAAACGACCAUCUGGAACACACGAACGCACAUUUAAUGCUCCAACAGUAGACGAAGUUGCUAUCCUGAUUGUUGGUGAAUAAUUGGAAAAACGCGAUAUUGUGCUUAAACGUCGCGAUACUGGGCAACUACAACAAAUAUCUGAAACUCAUCGAUCAUAUGACGCAUUGCAAUACCCACUAAUGUUUUGGCAAGGAGAAGAUGGAUAUUAUUUUAAUAUUAAAUUGAUAAAUCCAUUGAAUGGUAAAGAAACUGCAAAGAAAGUUAGCUCAAUGAAUUAUUAUGAAUAUCGUUUGAUGAUUCGUCAAAAUGCUGACAACUAUUUGCUGCGGUUUCGUCGAUUGUUUCAGCAGUAUUGCGUUGACAUGUAUGUAAAAAUAGAAACGGAACGUUUAACAUUUAUUAGGUUGAACCAAGCCAAACUGAGUUCUGAGGACUACAUCCAUUAAUAUUGGUCGAUUAACUAUUCUGCCGGCGACGUACAUUGGUAGCCCACGUCAUAUGCAUGAAUAUGCACAAGAUGCAAUGACAUAUGUUCGUCAUUACGGCCGGCCAGAGCUCUUUAUUUAUGUUCCCAACAUAUCGUGCUGCAUGUGAAGAAUUUAUCUUAUUAGAAAACGAUACGCAUUGGGAUACGACAAUCGCUGAAGCCAUUAUCUCUGCAUCUCCAAGUCAGAUACGCACAUUAUUCGCUAUAAUAAUUUCGACAUGUUUUCCAUCAAACCCAUGUAACCUGUGGCACAAAUACAAGGAUAGUAGAACUUGGCGAGAUCCAACAUAGCGGUUGCAGUUGCUUUUUCUGGAAUAGCAGCCACAUUGUUAGAAGGAUACCGUACGGCUCAUUCAGCAUUCAAAUUACCUUUAAAUCUUCAAACUAUUGAAGAACCAACGUGUAAUAUUGCAAAGCACUAAGCAAUGGCCAAAGUUUUAGCGGCAUCGAAAGUCAUCAUGUGGGACGAAUGCACAAUGGCGCAUAAACGUGCAUUAGAAGCACUUAACCGAACAUUAAAAUAUUUACGCAAUGACUCGAGAUGUUUUGGAGGAGCAUUGAUUUCCAAGAUCUACGGCUGCCGAUGAAAUAAACGCUUGCCUCAAAUCGUCAAAUCUAUGAAGCUAUGUGAAGAAACGAUGAAUCGAGCGGAUUAAUAUCAUUUCCAAAUAAUUUCUGUAAUAUUGUCGCAUCAAAAGACGAUCUUAUCAACAAUGUAUAUUCAAAUAUUAUUUCUAACUACAAAAAAUAAUGAAUGAGUUGAGUGAGCGAGCAAUUUUAGCGGCUAAGAAUAAAGAUGUAGAUGACCAGAACUACAUAAUUCAAAAUAAGAUCAUUGGAACAGCAUUGUUCCAUUGUUCCAUUGCAUAUUCAUUCCAAUCUAUCGACUGCGUCACAAAUGAAGCCACCAACUAUUCUAGUGAAUUUUUAAACUCUUUGGACGUGGCUCCGUAGUAAUCAUGCUUUGAAACAUAAACCAACCAAAACUGUGCAACGGUACGCGUUUGGUGGUUAGUAAAUUGAUGAACAAUGUAAUUUACGCUACGAUAAUGAUAGGAAAAUUCAAAGGUGAGGAAGUUCUCAUUCCCGAUGAUCCCAACCGAUAUGCCGUUUGAAUUUAAAAG